rnacentral:rRNA from 1 species
GACGAACGCUGGCGGCGUGCCUUAUACAUGCAAGUCGAGCGGACAGAUAGGAGCUUGCUCCCUGACGUUACCGGCGGACGGGUGAGUAACACGUGGGUAACCUGCCUGUAAGACUGGGAUAACUCCGGGAAACCGGGGCUAAUACCGGAUGGUUGUCUGAACCGCAUGGUUCAGACAUAAAAGGUGGCUUCGGCUACCACUUACAGAUGGACCCGCGGCGCAUUAGCUAGUUGGUGAGGUAACGGCUCACCAAGGCGACGAUGCGUAGCCGACCUGAGAGGGUGAUCGGCCACAUUGGGACUGAGACACGGCCCAGACUCCUACGGGAGGCAGCAGUAGGGAAUCUUCCGCAAUGGACGAAAGUCUGACGGAGCAACGCCGCGUGAGUGAUGAAGGUUUUCGGAUCGUAAAGCUCUGUUGUUAGGGAAGAACAAGUGCCGUUCAAAUAGGGCGGCACCUUGACGGUACCUAACCAGAAAGCCACGGCUAACUACGUUCCAGCAGCCGCGGUAAUACGUAGGUGGCAAGCGUUGUCCGGAAUUAUUGGGCGUAAAGGGCUCGCAGGCGGUUUCUUAAGUCUGAUGUGAAAGCCCCCGGCUCAACCGGGGAGGGUCAUUGGAAACUGGGGAACUUGAGUGCAGAAGAGGAGAGUGGAAUUCCACGUGUAGCGGUGAAAUGCGUAGAGUAUGGAGGAACACCAGUGGCGAAGGCGACUCUCUGGUCUGUAACUGACGCUGAGGAGCGAAAGCGUGGGGAGCGAACAGGAUUAGAUACCCUGGUAGUCCACGCCGUAAACGAUGAGUGCUAUUUGUUAGGGGGUUUAUCGCCCCUUAGUGCUGCAGCUAACGCAUUAAGCACUCCGCCUGGGGGGUACGGUCGCAAGACUGACACUCAAAGGAAUUGAACGGGGGCCCGCACAAGCGGUGGAGCAUGUGGUUUUAUUCGAAGCAACGCGAAGAACCUUACCAGGUCUUGACAUCCCUGUGACAAUCCUAGAGAUAGGACGUCCCCUUCGGGGGCAGAGUGACAGGUGGUGCAUGGUUGUCGUCAGCUCGUGUCGUGAGAUGUUGGGUUAAGUCCCGCAACGAGCGCAACCCUUGAUCUUAGUUGCCAGCAUUCA